AAAGUUAUUUUUGUAAAUGUUUCGUCCUGCACCUUUAAGUAUUGUGAUUUCGUGAAAUGAUUAAGUAAAAGUUAUUUCAUCAUAGUUUCACCUGGAUCAUUGAGAUCAGCACUCAUUGGAUCAGCCGCUGCAGUUUUCCUCACUGUGACUCUCCUCUCCGUGUUCCUACUGAUCAGAAAAAAGAGAAACUCUCAGCAAUCUGCUGAUCCUGGGGACAGACUUGACCACAGUGAGCAGCGUCUACCCAAUCAGACUGAGGAAAACUGUGACCUUCACUAUGCCAGUGUCCACUUCAUGAAGAGACAGACGGAUCCCAUCUACUCCAACGUCGGAUCAGCUGAACCCAGCAAACACAAGGAGGCGGAGGACGUUGCAUACGCUUCUGUCAACUGUAACAGAUCUGCCCCGAGAACCAGAGGUCAGGACACUGGAGAGGAUCCAGCUGCAUUGUACAGCACAGUCAAAAAACCUCCUGCUGUUUAGACCAACGUCUGGAAAUCACCUUAGUCCCGAUGGAAAUAUCUCAACAGCUGCGGGAUGGAUUUGAAUAGAAGUUCAUACAACUGUUCAUGGUCCCCACAGGAUGAAUCCUACUUUGGUGACAGACUCCAGCAUCAUUGUUGAAGUGAAUGUUCAGUUUUAAGUGACUUGUCUUGACAGCUAAUGGAUAAAUUGCCCCGAGGAUGAAUCCAAACGACUCCGGUGACUCGACUUUUAUCUGAAAUAUUUCAGCAACUUGUAGAAGUUGUUAAAAACGCCACAUUUAGCCUGAAUGAAAAAUAUCAAACAUUUUAUAACUUGCAGCUUCACACAUGAAAAUAUCUGCGGUGUGUGU